GCAUGGCGGCAGCUACCAUGCAGUCGAGCGGAACGAGUUAUCUGAACCUUCGGGGAACGAUAACGGCGUCGAGCGGCGGACGGGUGAGUAAUGCCUAGGAAAUUGCCCUGAUGUGGGGGAUAACCAUUGGAAACGAUGGCUAAUACCGCAUGAUGCCUACGGGCCAAAGAGGGGGACCUUCGGGCCUCUCGCGUCAGGAUAUGCCUAGGUGGGAUUAGCUAGUUGGUGAGGUAAGGGCUCACCAAGGCGACGAUCCCUAGCUGGUCUGAGAGGAUGAUCAGCCACACUGGAACUGAGACACGGUCCAGACUCCUACGGGAGGCAGCAGUGGGGAAUAUUGCACAAUGGGCGCAAGCCUGAUGCAGCCAUGCCGCGUGUGUGAAGAAGGCCUUCGGGUUGUAAAGCACUUUCAGUCGUGAGGAAGGUAGUGUAGUUAAUAGCUGCAUUAUUUGACGUUAGCGACAGAAGAAGCACCGGCUAACUCCGUGCCAGCAGCCGCGGUAAUACGGAGGGUGCGAGCGUUAAUCGGAAUUACUGGGCGUAAAGCGCAUGCAGGUGGUUUGUUAAGUCAGAUGUGAAAGCCCGGGGCUCAACCUCGGAAUAGCAUUUGAAACUGGCAGACUAGAGUACUGUAGAGGGGGGUAGAAUUUCAGGUGUAGCGGUGAAAUGCGUAGAGAUCUGAAGGAAUACCGGUGGCGAAGGCGGCCCCCUGGACAGAUACUGACACUCAGAUGCGAAAGCGUGGGGAGCAAACAGGAUUAGAUACCCUGGUAGUCCACGCCGUAAACGAUGUCUACUUGGAGGUUGUGGCCUUGAGCCGUGGCUUUCGGAGCUAACGCGUUAAGUAGACCGCCUGGGGAGUACGGUCGCAAGAUUAAAACUCAAAUGAAUUGACGGGGGCCCGCACAAGCGGUGGGAGCAUGUGGUUUAAUUCGAUGCAACGCGAAGAACCCUUACCUACUCUUGACAUCCAGAAGAACUUUCCAGAAGAUGGAAUUGGUGCCUUCGGAAAU
rnacentral:rRNA from 1 species